UUGACCUCGGAUCAGGUAGGGAUACCCGCUGAACUUAG
rnacentral:rRNA from 1 species